ensembl:misc_RNA 7SK 7SK RNA
GAAUGUGAGGGUGAUCUGGCUAUGACAGGGUUGAGUCAGCUGAUCUGGAUGGCCAGGCAGAUGUCCCCUUCCUUUCUCAAUGUUCCAUGUGGAUUCUUCUCAAAACUUCCCCAGACAGAAGAGGAAUGGUCUUCAGUGAAGGAUAGAGAAGUAACCUCCAAACAAAUUCUCAGGCUUUAUUCCAACUUUUUAUAAUUCCUCUCACAAGCCCUUGCUACAGG